CCCCAUGCGAGCCUGCAGCCAUUGACGGAAAAAUGACAACCGAGUAUCUUCGAACGGUGUAAAAGUCGAAAAGGAGCUCGGUGAAUAACAGUCCUACACGAAUAAAAGAGGUCGUCGACGACCUUAGGACGACGUAAAAAAAAAAAAAAAAAAGAGGAGGAAGAGAGAAGAAAGAAGAAUAAAGAAGUUUGACAGACAACUAUUCGAUGCA
rnacentral:lncRNA from 1 species